rnacentral:rRNA from 1 species
CACAUCAGCUCGAGUGAGAAUACGCGCUAAACUUAAGCAUAUCAGUCAGCGCACGUAAUAACAGAAACUAACCAGGAUUCCCUUAGUAACGGCGAGUGGACUGGGAUACCAAUAACACAUAUACGCGUCGUUCGCGACGUGUAUCUUUAGCCCGUCGAUACUAUCCUAGCGUAUGACUCUCUGUCUCGGCAGAGUGUCGCCUAAUACGCGGGAAUUGUAGCAUCGUAAUAUAAAAUAUACGUAUAUACGCGCCACACACACAUAUACCAACUCAGUGCCGGCCUUGCAAACACACAGCGCUCUCGCGUUGGAAAGCAAGUUAUAUCUUCGGAUAUGCCAUAGAGUGUGACAGCCACGUUUGGAACACCUCGGCAACUGAUACACGCGCAUAAUACAUACCGUAUAUAACCUGAGUCGAGUUAUUUGGGACUAUAGCUCUAAUAGUUUGGUUGGUGGUAAUGACACAUCAAAGGCUAAAUGUUGGUUAGUACGCGAUGCAUAUUUAUACGGAGACCGAUAGCAUACAAGUACCGUAAGGAACGAUGAAAAGCACCCUAUUAAGUUCACGGCGUCCGACUGCGUAUAACUCGUUAUACAACGUCGCGCCCAACAACUACAGUGGGAGUGAAAGAGAGAGUGAAAUCGCCUAUACAUAAAUACAUAUAAGUACACGCAUGUCACACUUAUACAAAGUCUGCGUUAGUACAAUCGGACAGAGUGUCGUACCCUUUAUACCAGCCGCCUAAUAUGCGUAUAUCACAUAUUAUGGCUCGGCUCAUAGUGCACCUCGGCCACUAUACGCGACACAACUGUACGACCCGUUUUGAAACACGGACCAAGGAGUUCAACUGGAUUACGAGUCGUCGAGUGUUGUCAUAUAUAUACUCACACGGCAUAGCGAAAGCAACUUAUAAUCCUAUGUGCGAGGUCGGGUGACACCGUCCGCAGCACGCGCUGAGUAAGUAUAUGCGUAGAGGCCUUAUGAGUCGAUGCGUGUACCUCUGUAUUUUAUAUAGAGGAUUACUCAAGCGUUCAACGAGUAUAUCUUGUUGAGACCCGAAAGAUGGUGAACUAUGCUCGGAUAUGGCGAAGUCAGGUGAAAACUUGAUGGAAGCUUGCGUUGUGCGGAACUGACGUGCAACUCGUUACCGCCUAACCUGAGUAUAGGGGCGAAAGACUCAUCGAACCAUCUAGUAGCUGGUUCCCUCCGAAGUUUCCCUCAGGAUAGC